CACAUGCCAACAUUUUCUUAAUGCCCUGCGAAUCACUAAGAGGCCCAAGUAAUGCCCCUUUCUAAAUGCUGUGCAUCUUUGCAUCUCGUUCUUUCAUUUUAGUUAGCAUUUUUGCUCACUCAAGAGGUAUGAUAUUGAGAAUAUAAUUUUUUGGCCACGUACGAUCUGGUCUGAUGAAUAUCAAUAUUUGGUCAAUUCGGUGCCGAAAUGGUGUCAAAACAAUAUUUGC